rnacentral:rRNA from 1 species
AUUGAACGCUGGCGGCAUGCCUUACACAUGCAAGUCGAACGGUAACAGGUCUUCGGAUGCUGACGAGUGGCGAACGGGUGAGUAAUACAUCGGAACGUGCCCGAUCGUGGGGGAUAACGAAGCGAAAGCUUUGCUAAUACCGCAUACGAUCUACGGAUGAAAGCAGGGGACCGCAAGGCCUUGCGCGAACGGAGCGGCCGAUGGCAGAUUAGGUAGUUGGUGGGGUAAAAGCUUACCAAGCCGACGAUCUGUAGCUGGUCUGAGAGGACGACCAGCCACACUGGGACUGAGACACGGCCCAGACUCCUACGGGAGGCAGCAGUGGGGAAUUUUGGACAAUGGGCGAAAGCCUGAUCCAGCCAUGCCGCGUGCAGGAUGAAGGCCUUCGGGUUGUAAACUGCUUUUGUACGGAACGAAAAGACUCUGGUUAAUACCUGGGGUCCAUGACGGUACCGUAAGAAUAAGCACCGGCUAACUACGUG